CCUACGGGAGGCAGCAGUGAGGAAUAUUGGUCAAUGGACGAGAGUCUGAACCAGCCAAGUAGCGUGAAGGAUGACUGCCCUAUGGGUUGUAAACUUCUUUUAUAAAGGAAUAAAACGAGGCACGUGUGCCUUUUUGCAUGUACUUUAUGAAUAAGGAUCGGCUAACUCCGUGCCAGCAGCCGCGGUAAUACGGAGGAUCCGAGCGUUAUCCGGAUUUAUUGGGGUUAAAGGGAGCGUAGAUGGGUUGUUAAGUCAGUUGUGAAAGGUUGCGGCUCAACCGUAAAAGUGCAAUUGAUACUGGCAGUCUUGAGUACAGUUGAGGUAGGCGGAAUGCGUGGUGUAGCGGUGAAAUGCUUAGAUAUCACGAAGAACCCCGAUUGCGAAGGCAGCUUACUAAACUGUGACUGACAUUGAUGCUCGAAAGUGUGGGUAUCAAACAGGAUUAGAUACCCUUGUAGUC
rnacentral:rRNA from 1 species